UUCACUCUCAUUUCUUUAGUUCUUCUUCUCGCUUACAGAGUUGCAGCAGCAUCACUUCCCAUCUUCAUCUGCCCCCUCUAUUACCAUCACCACAAAAUAUCAUCACCACAUGUGUUUACCACCUCCAAUAAUCCUUUAUUAGUUACCACCACCAACAUAACUAUUUAAGAGUUUUAAGAAGAUAUAGAGAUGGUGAUUGAUUAAUUUAAUGUGAGGUUUUAGGGUUUACGUUAAUUGAUCCAACAGUUGAUGGAUUGGUGUGAUUUGCUCUUUCUCUUUUCUUAACUGUUUGAUGUAUUAACCAAGAGUGUUCCAGAAUUGUAGGGCUUUUACAAAAUUGGAUUCCUUUUAUUAAUUUCUAAUUUUAUGGUUGAUGUUGACUUAUAUUGAAAAUUCGUAAAAGAAUCCAUAUGCAAUCAUAACGGUUCCAAACCGAACCGAACAUACAACAGUUUGGUGACCGUUUGAAAAUCACGAACUGUAGGCAGUACAGGUCCGUCGAUGGUUUGCCAAAAACCGGACCGACCGAACCGUUGUACAGCCUUGCUCCCGUCUCCCACUUGAACUUUGGCCGGCCCUAGAUCAAAAAAGUCUUAAGGCACAUCUUGGGUGGCUUUCAUAGGCGAAGGGUAUUAGUGGCAUUGCGUGUAUUUGGGUCUCUUCAUGAUUCGUUCCCGUGUGUUAAAUCUGUAAACCCUUGUGUUUUCUUGUUUUCCGAAAGAGAGAGGUAACAGCUCCUCCGCCUCCUUCAGUUAUAAUAAUGGCGAAGCGUGAGCUUUCCAGUACUUUGAAGAACCUAAAGUUCAUGCAAAGGGGAGCCCCAAAAGUAGAAAAAGCUAAACAAGGAGAAGAACUUGUAGUAGAGAUUAAAGAAGUUACAAACGUUUCUUCACCCAAUAAUACCCAAAAGAAAAAAUGUGUUGUCAUAAUAGAAGGGAAUCCCCAUCCAGGUUCGGUGAAAGGAAGGAUGUCAUUUCAAAGUUUUAAUCCUGUAAUCGAUAAAUUGAAUGAAGAAGCAGCAAAUCCCGGUCAAUCACAAAUGCCUUCUCCUAGUUCUGAUGGAAAAGCACCUGAUAGAGAAAAUGGAUCCUUGCGAGCGGAAUCUGAUAGGGCAAGUGUAGCUAAACUCGAUGGUUACUAUGAAGACGACGAUGAAUGCGUCACUGAGAUUCAGCAACCAAAUAAACCUCCAAAAGAUCUUCGUGGUGGACGUGGCCAACAAUAUGAGAACAACAGUAGAGGUUCUCAUAAGAAGCAAAAACGUGAGAAACUAGACUGGAAUCAUCUUAGACCGCCAAAGGCUCAGAAAAGACAGGAUUGAGCUCUUAACAGUUGUUGCUCCUCAUUGUCAAGCUUGAACAAUAAAAUUGAAUCUGUAGGUUUUAUUUUGUACAGGUGCAUAGAUAAAGUAAUGAGCUUCUUUUUCAUGGUAUAUCUUUAAAUUUAUUUUUAUUUAUUUUUUUUGCUAUGAUGCAAUCUUUGUUUCUACUAUUGAUGUGAUGAACUUUUGUCUUUCGUGCACAGGAGUUUGUUUGCCAAAACAGAAAUACGAUAUUGAGCAACCAUUAAUCUUUUUUUUUUAUUCCUUUUACGGUUGAUCUAUAUUUAUAAUUUGUUCUUUGAAUGAACCUCAUAGUCAAGCCUGGAACAAUAAGAUUGAAUCUGAAGGCAUAAGUAAGGCCAACAUAAAGUGGGUUUUGAAGGAACAAAGGAGUA